UUGUGUGUGUUUUUUUUUCUUUUUUUUUUCCUGUUGCUCUAAACUGCAUAAUCAGGAGAGGAAAAGAUCCAAAACUUCAGGGCAAUGCACAAGUGGAAGCUUAAAUUCUCAUUCCCAUAAAGCCGAUUUGUCUUUCAAGGUUUCAGGAUUUUUUUUCCUCUUCUUCUCCUGCUAUGCCUAAAUUUGGCCUUCUAAUAACAUUUUUAUAAUAUACCGUUACACAAAGAACACAGCAAAAUCAGUUCAGCUCAAGCCCAGCUGCUUGUAAAGGCUGGAUGAAGGAACUGUUUUUUCUUUGCACUCUGCUCAGUGUGUUUCUCAACACCUCUAAAUUAUUUUUUAUUUUUUAUUAUUUUAUUUUAUUUUUUUACAGGAAGAAUUGGGACAAGAUUUUCAUUUUGAGUUUAUAGGUCAGUUAUCUUUCGUCAGCUCUGCUCCAGAAGUGUGAGGAAGUAUCUCUAGGUCAGUAUCUGGUGACAAAAGAAGCCUUUUAAGACACAUUGCAGUUUCUUGCAAGUUCACCAUAGGAAUUCUCCUGAAGGAUGUAAUUUUCAUUAGUCCUGUUUGUAGAAAGAGGACAAAAUGUGGGCAUUUUGGAUACACUUAGAUAAUAUCCUAAGAGGAAGCUACCAGAGAUCGAAUCAUGUGCCUGUACACAGGCAUGUGGUACAUUUUGGAUGCUGUAGUAUAUUCUUUGAAGUGUAUGUCUUCUGUAUUCCUUCACGAUCCUCAAGAAGAUGUGUAUGCUACUGUAAGAGGUCAAAUAACAUACUAUGUCUAUGGUUUCAACACCUGAGCUAUUCCAUUGUUGUGGGACAUUUGACCUAAGGUGCAUAAAGAGAAUAUGUUCAGCCACAGAAACCCCUGUAUACAUUUGGUUAUACAAUUUAACCUACUACAAAACUAUAGAUUCCCAAGCAGGAAGCCAAAGGAAUUUCUCAGCACCUCUGCAGGAGCAGGGAUAAUGCACGCAAAGACUCUUCCUUGUGGAAAGAGAAAAGCAAUUAUUGGCAUGGUGAUGGUGAAUAAGCAAUGACUGUGCACUCUUUCAUCGAAUGUCUUCUGCUUCUAGUAAAUUAACAAGAGGCAAAUUGAAACAAUCAAAACAAGGUAGUUUUGUGCACAAUGCAGGAGCUGUGUAAUCCAUGAUCAUAGGAUACUGUGGAUGAUAAAAUUUACACAGCUUCAGGGAGAGUUGAACCGCAUGAAUUCAUGGAGGAAAAAUCCAUCUUAAGUUGUACUACUGGCAGUAUCUUGCUCAUGUGGACAGUGAAGAAAAUCUAAGAACUGGGGUACUUGUACUCUCCUUAAGCUGCUCCCAGCAAAGUGAGUUCCUGGCAAAGAAAACCACCAGGAAGAUGAGCAGUCAAGCCUGCUGAUUGUUGAAAGUGCAAAUUACUCAAAAUGGAACAGCAGCCCAGAAGACAAUACUGGCCUUCACGCGUUUUCCAGCCUGCUGUCAGUGACUUCAGCGCAUCCCCUCAGAGAUGUGUAGCAGGUGCCACAGGAAGGCAGCAGAUCAUGCAGAGCAAGAAGCUUAUGAGCCAAUGAGGAAUUUUGACACAAAAUAGUGCAUUUUGGAGAAGUGAUUUGACCACUCAGGGCUGGAGUCUUGCAAACAUUUAUUCUGCAUGAUGUAUGUGGUAAUUGUGACCCAGAAACAAAGCCAUAUGCCACAGGGCUCUAAAUGUAUACUCAAUUUUCCAUUUUCAUCAUAUAACAAUAGCAACAGUAAUCUAUUUAUAGACAAUGGCACGACAUUUCAUAACUGAUCAAGAUCAGUUCAGAGCAUCAGGUCCUGGCUAGGCAUUAAAGCUUCAGGAAAUAUCUCUCUGCUGCAUUAUCAUUGCCUUACUAUUUACAGCAACUAUCACAACCAUUUGUAUAAAUAUUUGCUUUCCUGAUACUGGCACCCCGAAGGAGUUCAGGUCAGGAUAUUGUCUGCAUAUUGUAUAGCAUUACAACAUGCAAGUAUUUAAGUGACUGUGGAAAAGAACAGGAGGCUUCAAAUCUGACUGAGAAAUGAAGGGGUCUGUCUUGGAGCACCUGCUCUGCACAGUUGGUUUUUAUUAAACAAUACAACGUGCAACUCUGCAGGAGGUCAGAGCAGAUGAUCUAAUGGGUCUUCCUGCCCUUGAAAUAUACAAACUACACCACUUUAAAGUUAGUGUCAGAGAAGCCAGUAAAAUGAAUUUAGGCUUGUCCAUUUAGAUUAUUACAAAAAGGUAUUUGGUGGAGCAGUUUCUCUGAUCUCUUUUAUUUCCAGUUUUGUUAUGGUGGGUAGAAGGAGAUACUUGGAUUCACCUAAGAAGUCUGCAUUCCCAAAUACAGUGUCGGUGACCAGACACUUCAGCAUUGUGAUAGGCACCGACUAAACUUUAUUCCUACUCAGUUUCACUUCCUGGGUUCUUUCCUUAUUAGGCUAAAUGAUGAGCAAAUUGUAAAAUAAAAAAUGCCCCAACUGUAUCAGCACAUUGGAAUUUAAGAACUCUUCCUCAUGUAAUGAGCUGAGGAAUUACAACACAAAGCACUCCUUUCUCUCAAGCUGACUGAUUAACAUAAUAAAGUUAAACUCAAAGCAGCUUGUUCUCAACUUGUAUUCAGCCUGAGGUGUUUUUCUUGUAUUUCAGACCUGACAAAGGGCUCAUGUGCCUGGAAGCACGUGCCUGCUAUUUUCCAGCUAUAUCAUUUGGUAUAAUUAAAAACCUUACCUCUUCCUACAAACUUCGCCACAGGAAUCUACAUGGCUAAGCAGGUUUUUUUCCUAUGUCAUUAUUUAAAUCUGGCACAAUCUUAAACCAUUAGAAUUAUGUAUGAUUUGCCAAAUUUCUGGUGUCACUGACCAUUACACCCAUAGUUGAAAGUUGGCAUCAGUUUCACAUAUGGAAAAUAUGCCCUGCAGCCAGA